rnacentral:rRNA from 1 species
GACGAACGCUGGCGGCGUGCCUAACACAUGCAAGUCGAACGAGGUCCAACCAACCUUCGGGUUGGGGAAGACCUAGUGGCGAACGGGUGAGUAACACGUGAGGAACCUGCCCCGAAGACUGGGAUAACACCGGGAAACCGGUGCUAAUACCGGAUGCCCUCAGUGGACCGCAUGAUCUGCUGAGGAAAUGGAUUCCGCUCCGGGAGGGCCUCGCGGCCUAUCAGCUUGUUGGUGGGGUAACGGCCCACCAAGGCUUCGACGGGUAGCUGGUCUGAGAGGACGAUCAGCCACACUGGGACUGAGACACGGCCCAGACUCCUACGGGAGGCAGCAGUGGGGAAUCUUGCGCAAUGGGCGAAAGCCUGACUCAGCAACGCCGCGUGGGGGAUGAAGGCUCUCGGGUUGUAAACCCCUUUCAGCAGGGACGAUAGUGACGGUACCUGCAGAAGAAGCCCCGGCCAACUACGUGCCAGCAGCCGCGGUAACACGUAGGGGGCAAGCGUUGUCCGGAUUUAUUGGGUACG